UACGAAGGGGGCUAGCGUUGCUCGGAAUCACUGGGCGUAAAGGGUGCGUAGGCGGGUCUUUAAGUCAGGGGUGAAAUCCUGGAGCUCAACUCCAGAACUGCCUUUGAUACUGAAGAUCUUGAGUCCGGGAGAGGUGAGUGGAACUGCGAGUGUAGAGGUGAAAUUUGAUAAAAUUAGAGAGAAUACCAAUGGCGUAAGCAACUAUCUGGUCCUUAACUGAUACUGAGGUGCGAAGGUAUGGGGAGCGAAUAGG
rnacentral:rRNA from 1 species